GGAAUCUUGCACAAUGGGCGAAAGCCUGAUGCAGCGACGCCGCGUGGGCGAAGAAGGCCUUUGGGCCGUAAAGCCCUGUCGGGCGGGAAGAAGGAAGCGACGGUACCUCCCAAGGAAGCCCCGGCUAACUACGUGCCAGCAGCCGCGGUAACACGUAGGGGGCGAGCGUUAUCCGGAUUUAUUGGGUUUAAAGGGUGCGUAGGCGGGCUGUUAAGUCAGCGGUCAAAUGUCGGGGCUCAACCCCGGCCGGCCGUUGAAACUGGCGGCCUCGAGUGGGCGAGAAGUAUGCGGAAUGCGUGGUGUAGCGGUGAAAUGCAUAGAUAUCACGCAGAACUCCGAUUGCGAAGGCAGCAUACCGGCGCCCUACUGACGCUGAGGCACGAAAGCGUGGGUAUCGAACAG
rnacentral:rRNA from 1 species